rnacentral:lncRNA from 1 species
CCUACUCAUUUUCAUCUAAAACCCUCCCUCAUUUUUUAAUAAUUUUUUCAUUUCCUAUUUUCUUUUUCAUUCAAAAUUAUUUUGCCAUGUACAUGAUUAUAUUUAUAAGACUAAUUUUUUUUUUUGAAAUUUUUAGACAAAAAAAAAAUAAUACAAAUUACAAACAUAACUUAUUAAAACAUUAUUUAUCCCUCAUUUUUUCCCUAAUUAAUUCAAACUCAAAACCACUGUUCAUCUUCUUCCUCACCAAAAUUGAAAUCUGAAAUCUGUCACCCAACACCACCAGUCGCCUCCCAAAGCCAUAAAAUCCGGCAAGAACAACCCAGGAUUAAACUGGUGAUUGACGAAGCCAUAGCAUCAGAAAUCCAAUACCCAACAACAAACAUAUACGUACACAGUCAUAUUCACUUUCAACGAAUUCUCCUAGUACAAUGGCAAGCAACGAGCCAGAACAUAGAGAAGUCAGAAGAGGAAGAGACCGUUCCCGGAGAAUACGAAGAUACCGGAGAAGACGAAGAGAAGAGAUCUCAGAUCUGUACUUUCUGUCUUAUCUUAUCAUUUCCUCUUCGAUCUAUUUGAUUGAAAAACUAGGGUUUUUAAAUUUUAAUUGCUGAAUUUAUGCAGUAAAUCGAUUUAUCUGCCUCUCAAGGCCGUACCCAGAUCCUCUCUCCCAAGCACAGAUAACAAUAUAACAUAGCAGGUCUAAAUCAUUU